AUCGACAAUCCACGUUAAUUUUCACUUCUUUUCAAAUUUAUAUACCGCCAUCUUAAGAAUAAAUUAAAAAAUAUUUCUCCAAAAAACCAAUAAAAAGUUAGGUCAAGGUGUAAUUUAUAUAGAAGAAUUCGAUGAAUUACAUUAAAUAUAAUUUAAAGAUUAUAGAUGUAUAUAUUUAUAUAAAUAAGGAUUUAAAAGUAAUAUUCAAACAAUAAUAUAAUAUGAUAAAGACAAUAAAUGUGCACACAUCGCCC
rnacentral:rRNA from 1 species